GAACCAAGAUAUGUUAAAAAUAAUAAUUACUAAUAUUGAUUAGUACGUCUAUUAAAGAAAUAUUAUUAUAAUAUUUAUACAAAUGGAAAAAUACAUAAUUGUGAUAUAAUUAUAUAAGUAUUGAUAAAAUGAUCCUUAUGAAAAUUAGUAUUUUAAAAUACAAAAGAAUAUUACCAAUAUGAAAUAUUUGACAUUAUUAAUUAAUAUGACGCUUCGAUGUCUAGAUAAUGUUAGGGAGUUAAUGAAGAUUUUAAUAAUUAUGUAGUCUCAAUAACUAAAUUAAAAAUAUGAUAAAAAUAUUAGUUUACUUUAAUAUAAAAUUGAUUGUAGAAAUUGAGCAUGAUGUUUUAUUAUGAGAUCUUUAAUAUAUGAUAAUUGUUAGAGUUAAUAUGUUUUGUUAAUUAGUUUGAUAAUUGGAUUGAUACUCCCUAGAAAGGAUUAGGUCUUGUUUGGAGUUUUAGUAUUUUAUGGAAAUAUGGAUUAAGGUAUUAACGUUUGAAAAUUUACAUGUUGAAUUCUAGUCAUGAUGAUCGCUUCCAUUUAUGUAUGUAUGUGACUUUGGAAUUCAUGUUUAGGCAUGAGUUCCUAGAAGUAAUGAUAUUGACCUAGUAUGCACAUGUGGAUGUAUUUGAUGCAAAUGAUGAAUUGAGACAGCACAAAAGGGCUAUGUUUGCGCAGGUACUGAAGAUUAUGGAAUGGAUUAACUGCUAGCAUAAGAGAUUUAAGGCUGUGUAGUUAGGAUUAUAGUACUUUGUACUCAUAGAUGUUUGUACUAUUUGCUUGUAAUAUGUCUAGACAUUUACUUGUAAUUAAUAAGUUUCAUGUUCGUAAUUAGCGUAAAGACUUUUAAUGUAUUUUCUAGAAGAUGUCAGUUAAAGCUCUGAAUAUAUCGUAGGGGAAUUGUCCCUAUCGGUAAUGUUUAAAAAAAAAAGAUAUUCGUAUU